rnacentral:rRNA from 1 species
UACGUAGGUGGCGAGCGUUGUCCGGAUUUACUGGGCGUAAGGGGAGCGUAGGCGGACUUUUAAGUGAGAUGUGAAAUACUCGGGCUCAACUUGAGUGCUGCAUUUCAAACUGGAAGUCUAGAGUGCAGGAGAGGAGAAUGGAAUUCCUAGUGUAGCGGUGAAAUGCGUAGAGAUUAGGAAGAACACCAGUGGCGAAGGCGAUUCUCUGGACUGUGACUGACGCUGAGGCUCGAAAGCGUGGGGAGCAAACAGG